UACGUAGGGGUGCAAGCGUUUGUCCGGAAUUAUUGGGCGUAAAGAGCUCGUAGGCGGUCUGUCGCGUCUGCUGUGAAAACUCAGGGCUUAACCCUGAGCUUGCAGUGGGUACGGGCAGACUAGAGUGCGGUAGGGGAGACUGGAAUUCCUGGUGUAGCGGUGAAAUGCGCAGAUAUCAGGGAGGAACACCGGUGGCGAAGGCGGGGUCUCUGGGGCCGUAACUGACGCUGGAGGAG
rnacentral:rRNA from 1 species